UACAAGAGAGAAGAGACUGAAUUGUGAUAGCUGGAACCAUGGAUGAGAGAACAACACACACCCAUCAGAAAAUGUGCCUGGAGAACCUCCUGGGUGGCAGCCUGUUGCAGCAGCAUUCAUGAGUCUGGGCACAUACAGUCUGGGAUAGGUGUCCAGGUAUAUUCUGCUAUCAAUAUUGCUAGAAAGUUACCAAAACACCCCGAGCCUCAAUUUCUUUAUUGGUUAUGUAUGAUCUCAGGAGAUGUGUACGGGUUCAAGUCGACAAGGCAUGGACCUGUGAUGGUCAAUACUGAGUGUCAACUCCAUUGGAUUGAAGGAUACAAGAGUCUCUCUUUGUAGCCCAGGCUGGAGUGCAGUGGCACGAUCUUGACUGCCCACAACCUCUACCUCCUGGGUUCAAGUGAUUAUCCUGCUUCGGCCUCCGAGUAACUGGGAUUAUAGGCGUGGGCCAUCACAUCUAGCUAGUAACUUCAACAGCAUGGCUGAGGAUACCAGAGGAGCCAUGAAAUGAGAGUGACCAUCUUACUGGUCGAAUUCACAUGCAGGAAGCAGCAGAGGCUGUGAGGUGUCACCGAUGUUGCUGGUGCAUGGGUACACUUCAGCGGCAAGCACGAAAAGGACCUGAUUACAGAAACUCAACUUCUCCCUGGACAAAAUGAGAUUUUUCCGGUGAUUAUAUGGCAGUGAGAG